AGAAGAACAGGCGUUCUUCUCAUUUAUGUGACCGAUUGGGUUAUGGCUUGGAGAAGAAGCCGUGUGGAAGAAAAGAAGAAGAAAAAGAAGAUGAAAAGAAUUGAAUAGUGUAGAUGGAUAGGACGAAAAAGAAGAAGCCGAUGAAA
ensembl:ncRNA C17G1.13 ncRNA